UGUGUGUUGUCAGUCUCAGUGAAAGAGGCGUAGCCUCUGUGUCUAUCAGGGAGGCGUGGCUUCUGUGUGUAGUCAGUCUCAGUGAAGGAGGCGUGGCUUCUGUGUGUUGUCAGUCUCAGUGAAGGAGGCGUGGUUUGUGUGUUGUCAGUCUCAGUGAAGGAGGCGUGGUUUCUGUGUGUUGUCAGUCUCAGUGAAGGAGGCGUGGCUUCUGUGUGUUUGAAGGAGGCGUGGCUUCUGUGUGUAGUCAGUCUCAGUGAAGGAGGCGUGGCUUCUGUGUGUUGUCAGUCUCAGUGAAGGAGGCGUGGUUUCUGUGUGUUGUCAGUCUCAGCGAAAGAGAAAUGAAACUGUUUAAUAGUCUCACCUCCGUCUGUUUUUCCAGUGUGCUGUCUGUGGCCGUGUUUCUCUCGUCUUUCUUGCUCUCUCCGUUCUUUAUCCUGUUCUUCACCUCCACGAUGAUGCUCCCUCUCUCUGUGCCUCUCUUUCCUGUCUCGCUCUCUCUCCCUGAACUUGUCGUCCCCAUCUACACUAAUUUCCUUCUCUUUUCUUCUUUCAUUCUCUCGCUCUGCCCUCCUUCUCUCCCUCUCUCUGUCUUUCUCCCUAUCCCUCUCUUCCCCUCUAUCUCUCCCUCUCUCCCUCAGCUUAUCUCUCUCCUUUUCCUUCUCCCUUUUUUGUCUCUCUCUGUCUUUUCUCUGUCCCCCUUUUCUCUCUCUCUGUCCUUUUCCCUCUCCCUUUUUUGUCUCUCUCCAUCUUUUCCUCUGUCCCCCUUUUCUCUCCCUCCCUCCUUUUCCCUAUCCCUCUCUUUAUUCCGGUCUCUAUCUUUCUCCCUAUUCCUCUUUUCCCUCUCUAAAUCUUUUUCCUUGUCUCUCUCUUUCACCCUCUCCCUCAAUCCAUCUCUGUCUCUUUCUUUCUCUUUUUCUCUGUCUCUGUCCUUAUCCCUAUCUCUCUGCCGCUCUUUCUCUCUGUCUCUGUGCUCCGCCUCACCCCGCUCUCUCUCUCUCUCAUCCCUGGCUUCUCCUCUCCUGCCACUUUCCUCCCUGUGCUUCCUCCUCUCUCUCUCUGGGUCUCGCUGUGAGCGCUCUCUCCUCCUCCUCUCCUCCUCUUGGCUCUGUGAAUUAAUCAGUAACUUUAUUUGCUUUAUUAUUAAUAACCGGUAGUUAACUUCACUAAGGUUUCGAGGGCUAAAUCCCUAAUCACUGCACCACUAUAAGCAAGGCAUUGUGGGUAAUUUAGGAAACUGUUAACCGAAGAAACGGCAGCCGUGUAAAUGAUCAGAAUUACAUUACAAAAUAAAUCGUGGAUGAUGUUGAGGAUCACAUGAUAAUUAUAAAGGAUAACAGACAAGGGUGGAAUUUUCCUUUUAAACACACACACACACACACACACACACACACACUUACCCUCAUGUGCCUUAUUAAAUCGUCAGAUCUCCAUGUGUCUUCUUUUGUUAUUUUCUUGAUUAAGGAAGAUAUUUUAGUCACGUUAAAUAUGAUAUUUAUACAUUAAAUAAUAAUAAUAAUAAUCAUAGCUCAUAACCACUCACAG
ensembl:lncRNA